UCUUCUUUCAUCCUGAAACUCUCAAACUUAGUAGUAAGCAGCUGCAAUCUAGACAUCUUCAAUCUAAAGGUACCUUCAUGAGUGGUUUUGAGAAUAUUCUAAGCAUCUUUAGCCACCUCGCAGUUGCUCACCAGUCUGAAGAUGUUCUUAUCAACCCCAUUGAAUAUAAAUCUUACACUUGAACGAUCUUCGCACUACGUCCUAAAAAUAGGCCAAGAUGGGCGUGGUAAACUAUGGUCCUUGGCUUCUAAGGCAUAUAUUAG
rnacentral:lncRNA from 1 species